GGAUAGUAAGAGGAUUAAGCUUUUGAGGAUCGUCGAAGAAUGUAACGUGUUUGAUCGUGUUUCGAGGAAGUUAAAGAUUUAUAAUAGUUAUAUGGAAACAAAGGAAAUGAAAAUCACAACGAGCAGCACAUAAUAUUUCUAGCUGAUUUUGCGGAAUUUUCACGAUGUACCGAUUCCUCCGCCAGCUGUUCUUCGUAGCGCGGAAUUGUUUUCGCGAUGAAAGUGAAAGGCUUCCGCCGACUUUCCCCGAAAUUUUACGCCGUGCCCGCAGUCACAAUCAUCCCUGUCGCUUUUUCUCGAAGCUAAUGUUCCGUCGGCACGAACUUCGUGAAUUUGGAAGGAAGCAGCGUGUGACCGAUCCUGUGAGCGUAAUCAUACCAUUUCGUUGACCGUGCUCUCUUAAUCACGCUGAUGAUCAGUGAUGCUGAAUGACCCUGAAACGACUGAAACACCAUGUCGAUCGAAUAAAUUCUAAGAUUAAAGAAAUUUUAAAGAAUAUUGUGAUAAAUACAAUAAAAAUGAACCAAUAUUCGAUGAAAAAUUAUCGAGAUUUUAAAAUGUUAUAAUUUUGUAAAAAAAAAUAAAUAAAUGAAUAAAUUAUACAAUAAUGAA